rnacentral:rRNA from 1 species
GAUGAACGCUGGCGGCGUGCUUAACACAUGCAAGUCGAACGGGCCGAGCAAUCGGCCAGUGGCAAACGGGUGCGUAACACGUGGGUAACCUACCCCAGAGUGGGGAAUAACGAUCCGAAAGGAUCGCUAAUACCGCAUAUGCUCGCGAGAGUAAAGCCAUUCGCAAGGAUGGCGCUUUGGGAGGGGCCUGCGGCCCAUCAGGUAGUUGGGGAGGUAAUGGCUCACCAAGCCGAUGACGGGUAGCUGAUCUGAGGGGAUGACCAGCCACACUGGCACUGCGACACGGGCCAGACUCCUACGGGAGGCAGCAGUGAGGAAUAUUGCGCAAUGGGCGAAAGCCUGACGCAGCAACGCCGCGUGCGGGAUGAAGGCCUUCGGGUUGUAAACCGCUUUUCGGGGGGACGAGGGAUGGACGGUACCCCCGGAAUCAGUCUCGGCUAACUACGUGCCAGCAGCCGCGGUAAAACGUAGGAGGCGAGCGUUAUCCGGAUUCACUGGGCGUAAAGCGCGUGUAGGUGGCUCGCUAUGUCGAAGGUGAAAGCCUCUGGCUUAACUGGGGGAGGUCUUUCGAAACUGGCGGGCUUGAGGGCAGGAGAGGAAGGUGGAAUUCCCGGUGUAGCGGUGGAAUGCGUAGAGAUCGGGAGGAACACCAGUGGCGAAAGCGACCUUCUGGCCUGUCCCUGACACUGAGACGCGAAAGCGUGGGGAGCAAACGGGAUUAGAUACCCCGGUAGUCCACGCCCUAAACGAUGAGGGCUGGGUGUAGGGGCCAACCGGCCUCUGUGCCGAAGCUAACGCGUUAAGCCCUCCGCCUGGGGACUACGAGCGCAAGCUUA